rnacentral:rRNA from 1 species
CCUACGGGAUGCAGCAGUGGGGAAUAUUGCACAAUGGGGGAAACCCUGAUGCAGCGACGCCGCGUGAGUGAAGAAGUAUUUCGGUAUGUAAAGCUCUAUGAGCAGGGAAGAAAAUGACAGUACCUGACCCACAAGCCCCGGCUAACUACGUGCCAGCAGCCGCGGUAAUACGUAGGGGGCAAGCGUUAUCCGGAUUGACUGGGUGUAAAGGGAGCGUAGACGGUUAUGUAAGUCUGGAGUGAAAGCCCGGGGCCCAACCCCGGGACUGCUUUGGCAACUGUGUAACUGGAGUACAGGAGGGGCAGGCGGAAUUCCUGGUGUAGCGGUGAAAUGCGUAGAUAUCGGGAGGAACACCGGCGGCGAAGGCGGCCUGCUGGACUGAAACUGACGUUGAGGCUCGAAGGCGUGGGGAGCGAACAGGAUUAGAUACCCGAGUAGUC